AUUAACAUGGAGACUCAGAAUUCAUUAAAGAAACCUAGGUUUCUCAGUCACUGCGCCGCCCUCGAUCACCGCGGCAUCGCCGAGAAAAUCUCCACAUACUCGAUUCAACUUACUUGCUUCUGAAUCUCAAAUGAGCGAACAACAACAAGAAUGGGAAGCCGAGACUCAAAUGUCACCGUCAAAACCGAUGGAGGUUUCUCAUCAUGCGUGAAUCGAAGGGGUCGGAGGAAGAGAUGCUUACCGAUUGACUCCGGUGCGGUGGUUAUGGAUGACCUACUCCUUUCGUCUUCUUCUUGACGCAUUCAAUCUCUCUUCGGUUACUUCAAUGUUCGUGUUUUACCCUCGACCAAAGGACACCGCACGAGCACACAGAUUCACGGUUAGGAUGAAACGAAGGUUUGCGCCUCGUCCCAACAUCGUUUUUGUCACCGUUCCGUCGUAGAGGAAAUGGGGCUCAAUUCAGUCGGAUUCGUCAUAGACUCCAUUCCUAUUUCAUUGCAUGUUGGUUCAAGAUUGACGAGGUUUGUUGCGAGUGAUGAAGGGUGGUUUAGAGAUGGAGUUGUAUGUUCAGGGAGGGUUAUCGAAGGAUUGUGGUAGGAAUCAAACGUUGAAUCGUGGCGAGGUUGUUGCAGUUAAGGGUUUUUGGUGGUUAGAACAGUUGAGGGUUGAAGAUGUUGAACGAAUGAUGGAAAGGUUUUUGUCAAGAGAUUGUGAGACGGUGGAGGGUGAUGAAGAGGUUGAAAGGAGGGUCCGUUCUGAAAAUGGAGAUGGAGUGAAGUUGGUUCUCUUAUGCAAGUUGCAGGUUCUGUGUGGGUUUGGUGUUGUGAAUGAAAAAACUCCUUGAAGAUCACAGGAGAGCCUUCCUGUUAUAAGGGUUUUCUUUUUUUGAAGAAUGCUUCCAGGUUUUUAGAGUUUUUUUUCAUGUUUGGUUAAGUGAAGGGUUCGCUAGAAAUUGGAGGAAGAGAGUCGGUUGAAGGGUCCUGUUAGCCAGUUAGUUAUAAACAGUUAUAGGGGUUAUUCUGUUAUAUCGGUUGGUUGAGAAUUUUUUGAAAGAAAGUUUUGUUAUGAAAGCAGAUGGAGUUUAUGGAAGUUAUUUGAAGGUUCCUUCUAUUAUGGGGAUUGGAGAAGGUUUGUUGGAAAGUUGGUUAGGAGUUGUAGAGUUUUGGUUCAACUGGAAGUUCUUGAUGUCGGUUCUUGAAUAGUGGUUCGAAGAUGAAGUCGCGAUGAUCUCAUUAUAGGUUUUUUCUCUAUUUCUUAUUAUUUUUGUUUUGGGUUUUCUGUUAUAUUAAUUUUGAAGUUUGUUGGACAGUUAGAAUUUUGGUUAAUUCUGUUUGUUGGUUCUAUUAGGUUGUUAUCAAUUGGCCUCUAUUUCUGUUGGUUUUUUGGUUCAGUUAAGAUUGGCUUCAGGUGUGGAAAAUGGUUAGAAAAAUUAUGUUAUAAACUUCUGUUGUAAAGUUAACCGACUCUGGUGUGUUUUGUUUUCUCUUGUGCAAGAAGUUUUAUUGAAGCAGUGGUUACGGAUGAUCUUAGAGGUUAAAGAAGUUAGGAGUUCCAAAAGGGAUUAAAGGGUUUUCUCCUUUAUGCUAUUGGAGCUGUUUUUGAUUUGUUGUUGCGUAUUGAUUGUUGUUUUCGUUUUGCUUCGCCCUAGCUUGCGUUGUAGCUUACGUGGCCUGCAUUUUGUAUUGCAACAUCGUGGCUUUUCCAUUUCAGAUUGUAGUUUUGUUCCUGGUUUUGGUGAAGUGAUUCCGUUGGGCUGCAUUGCACCGUGGGUAAAAAUCCAAGAUUCCGACUUUGGUUCGUUGCUGUUUCGGCUUUUCAUCUGGUUUUGAUUAAGCUUGAAAUGAAGGUGAAUGAGAUGUGCGGCUAAUGGACUGUUAUGCCUUAUGAAUGGCUUGCUUGGACCGUUUGGAGUGCAUGAGCUAACCCAGAAUUUAUGGAUUUUUGGAAUGCUUUUGAUCUCUAUGCAAUUUUAGGAUUCAAGAUUGUGGUAAUGUAGGAUUUAAAUGAUUGUAAGAAAUGUUGCAAAUUUGAAAUUGAAUGUAUGGGAAAUUGAAUUGUAUUAAAAUUGGUUAAAUGCUAUGGAAUUAGAAUGGUUGAAAUUGAA